GGGACAUCAGAGGUGGAUGCAGGAGGGUUUGGUCUGCUUUUUUUUCACGCUGCAGGUCCUCGACAUUUCCUCAAAAUGUCAUGAUCACCUAUCCGGUUACAGCAGAACGGAUCUGUAUAAACUUUCCCCAGGUAGCUGAAAUAGCUUAAGGUGGAACAACCAGAGUAACUGUGUCAAACAAUAAAGACCCACUUGUUGGAAGAAGCGAAGAAGAUAAAAAGGGCCGUAAACGAGAUGCUGAAAUGAGCAACUUGCCGACACCGCCAGGAGACUGAAGAGCCGGAAAAAGGAGUCGCCACAGUGGAUCAGCUGCCCCCAUCUCAGCCUAUCUCUAGCAUCUUCUUCUGCCACAGCAAUCCUCUACAUGUCCUCCUUCACAACAUCCACAAGUCUGCUCUGCGAUGGUCCUAUUUUCCUCCUGUCUAGUUCCUCCAUCUUCACUAUUCUUUGUCCAGCAUGUCCAGUAUCCCUCCUCUGCACAUGUCCAAACCAUCACAUCAGGUCUCACUUCCAUCUUGUAAACCUUCCCUUUCACUCUUGCUGCUAUCCUUCUGACACAAAUCGCCCUUUGCACUUGUCUUCAUCCACUCCACCCUGCCUCCACCCUCUUCUUCAUCUCUUCCGUGCAUCUCUUCUUUCGAAGGCGUCCAUUUUUUUCACUCUCCCUGUGUUUAUGCACCACUUUACAUUUAAUCAUUUGUUACUAUUAAUUUCUGUUUCCCUUUUAAAAAGGAGUUUGUCCGUCCCACUUUUCCUUCACCAAGUUAUUGCAAUGUGGCGCCAUAUAAAUAAAACUGAAGCAAAUUGAAUUGAGUCCACCUCCCUCCUUCUCAUUCACAUGUAUUAUGUCUUUCUACGUCUGACUUUCAUUCCUCCUUCCUACAGAACAUACCUCCACCUCCACAAAGACUCCUGCCGGCCCUCGUCUGUUAACCUGUACCCACGUUUGAUUUAGGAAACAUUUUAUGCCGUAUGUUCUUCCAGACACAGCCAUUCCCAUUUAUUGAGACUUGGGAUCAGCACCAGGACUUCACUGGCUUGUAGCCCCCCCCAUGGCUGGGUUACAAUACAGAUAUAGUACUACAGGUGCUGAAUCCACUGAAAAGUUUUCCCUUUACUCUGCAGAACACAAGAGAGCACAACAUCAAAUUUCUCCCUGAUAGAAUUGUGAUUUUAUGAUCUGCUGUGUUGUUUUCUGAUUACACUCCCCACUGUGUCAUGGAUGCCUUCCAAAAACUUUAUAUACCACUGAGCUACCUACUGUCUGGGGAGACUGAAACACAUGGUCCUUCAAUAAAAGAUAAUAGAAGUGACAAUAAGAUUUACCAUCUUCAUUCAUCUUGUUCAUUACCAUCUUCAGGAUACUGGAAAAAAGCCAAACCACAAACCCUCAAAGCCCACCAGCUAUUCUGGAAUAACGCUUAUGUGAGGCAGCUGGUAAUUCAUUACAUGUAAUAGGAUGCUACAGUGUAGUUGUGCUUCAGGGCUACUACUUAUUCAGUCUUUGAUAAGAGUUAUAAAACCUAUUCCUUAUAAGUUUCUCUGUGAAAGAAGCUUAAAGUAAAAACUCAGA